rnacentral:rRNA from 1 species
UCGCCUGUUUAUCAAAAACAUGUCCUCAUGUUAAUAAUUUGAGGUCUGGCCUGCCCACUGAAUUUUAUAGAUUUGAAGGGCCGCGGUAUUUUGACCGUGCAAAGGUAGCAUAAUCAUUAGUCUUUUAAUUGAAGGCUUGUAUGAAUGGUUGAACGAGGUAUUGACUGUCUCAAUGUAAAUGAUAUUAGAAUUUAACUUUUAAGUUAAAAGGCUUAAAUUUGUUUAAAGGACGAGAAGACCCUAUAGAGCUUUAUAUUGAAUGUUUAUUCUACAUUUAGUUGUAUUUUGAGAGUAGGCAGGGUAAUAUUUGGUUGGGGUGACGGGAAGAUAAAGUAAACUCUUUUUAAAUUUUUGACAUUGAUUUAUGAUUAGUUGAUCCAUUAUUAAUGAUUAUAAGACUAAGUUACCUUAGGGAUAACAGCGUAAUCUUUUUUGAGAGUUCUUAUCGACAAAAAGGGUUGCGACCUCGAUGUUGGAUUAAGAGUAAUUUUGGGUGUAGAUGUUCAAAGUUUAGGUCUGUUCGACCUUUAGAUUCUUACAUGAUCUGAGUUCAAAACCGGAGA